rnacentral:miRNA from 1 species
UCCUGGGGUGGUGGUGGCCACAGA